rnacentral:lncRNA from 1 species
CAGCCAGGAGAAGGAAGUCUAGAAUUGGAUGGCCCCAGGGGGAAAACAGAGAGAAGUCGAGCUCAGUGAUGGCUUGGAAGCAAGUUGGUAGAUGUUUCGAAUGUUACAACGAAGGGUGAGGGAUGUCCUCUUCACGCGCUCCACCACCAAGGAGAAUAUGUUGGAGAUAAUCAUAUCUGGCAAAUCAUGCACAUGGAGACUCCCCACACUUGGUGCCAUUUUUCCUUCUGUGGGAUUUUCUAUUCCUCAACUUUUUUUCUUCCGCAAAGGGAGUGGGAAUGGAUGAUGAGUAGCCUUGGUGUCAUAUGGGGAUGAAGUUCAUCAUGCAUGCAGAAACCUAAAGAGUCUUAAAGACGGACUAAGUGUUUACUUGUGUGUAAGGAUGAAGAUAAAGAUUCAGCGCGGGAAAGUAGUGCUGGCUUAGAGGGAGGAUGGGAAUGAGAGAGAACUUGCAUGGAGUUGUGGGGAUGAAGGAAAGAUACAGUAGUGGAAACUGAUGCCCUUAAGGGAGGAAAGAAGCUCAUGCAUCUGAGCUGUGCUUGUGAGGAUGAAGAAGAUAAAAAUGCAGUGGUGGCUCCACACGCAACAGAGAGAGAGAGAGAGAGAGAAGAAGAAGAAGAAGAAAGAAGCUCAUGCAUCUGAGCUAUGCAGUGGUGGCUCCACAUGCAACAGAGAGAGAGAGAGAGAGAGUAGUAACAGUAGUAGCAGAAACUGGUGGCCUUUAAGAGGAUAGGAGGUUGUGCAUCUGAGGUGAGGGGUAAUGGUGAGGACUGAGGAGGAAGGGAAAGACAGAGUCACAUAAACUGGUGGCUCGAGGGAGAGAGUCUCAAGGGAGGACUUGUAGGGUGGAAGAUAAAGAUGCGGUAAAAAGAGAGUCUCUAGUCUUUGGGUUGCCACCUGUCGCCACGGCCCACAACCCCAUCACCCCUGAUCGUUCAUUUCACUUUUCUUACUCCUUUUUUUCCCUCCCUUUUUCCAUUUCUUUUCACCUUUUUGUGAUAUUUCUUUUCUCAAAAAUUCAUUUAGUCGGCGGUAAUGGUUAUGCCAUCGUCCAGUGGGUCCGGUCCGCUCCACAUGGGUCCUAUAAUUCUCCAAAAACUCAUGAAAAUGUAAGGAAAUGCGUUUGAAAUAUGCCUCACUUUUUCAGGAAAGAGAACUUUACUAAAUGGAAGGAAAUGCGUUCUGUCUAUUUUAUGUAAGUCUCUCAAAGUAAAAAUUCUUUCACGACUCGAAUAAGACCAUUGAUUAAAUACAAAGUGAUCCACAACUUUUGAAAAUGGCCUUUAAGUUUCUUGAUGAAGUGUUAAAGAGUUUGAAGUCAUUCGGUAUCAUUUUGGGUUGCAGGCCUUUUGUUUCC